rnacentral:rRNA from 1 species
GGUGAAAUCUCCGGGCUUAACUCGGAAACUGCCGUUGAUACUCUCUGUCUUGAAUCCCGUGGAGGUGAGCGGAAUACGUCAUGUAGCGGUGAAAUGCUUAGAUAUGACGUAGAACACCAAUUGCGAAGGCAGCUCGCUACACAAAUAUUGACUCUGAGGCACGAAAGCGUGGGGAUCAAACAGGAUUAGAUACCCUGGUAGUCCACGCCCUAAACGAUGGAUACUCGACAUACGCGAUACACAGUGUGUGUCUGAGCGAAAGCAUUAAGUAUCCCACCUGGGAAGUACGACC